UCAUUGAUACUUAAAAGUAUUGAGUAAAGUAGAAUUUUUCAUUUCAUUUAGAGAUGACACAAAGACUUCCAAAAUGUUAACUGGCUUGCUCAAGACCAGUAACCAUAUUCCUGACUCUCUCACAAUGCCUUAUGAAGAGACUGGAUUGGCCCCUCUAGAGGGAAAGCCAUCACGUGGGUGCCAGGCAUCAGGUCUCUGAGAACAGAAAUGGUGCCAAAAUAGGAAGAGCCUAGACCUUUCUCAAAUUUGAGUUAAAGAAACCAAGAUAAGUCAGUCCAACCAAAGAGUAGAAAUAAGGAGGGGGAGUGGGGCGGGGAGAAGACGAAACUAAGGCUCAGGAAACCAACCAAACAGGAGCAGGCCCAAUGUUCCCAGGCAAUUGCUGUAAGAAGAGAUCAAGUAUGAAUGGCUUUGGUGUCUUAAAGAUGUAGAGAUUUCUUUGGGGGAGAAUAUUAAAACAUGAAUAAGUUAUAAAAGUAAGUAAGAUUCAAUGUCUAAUCUGAAUUUACACUUUCUAUUUUUUCAUUCUCUCAUUCCAAUAUAGCUCAGGUUUAAUCUAUCUGUAGUUGUAGAAAGAAAGAGCUUUAGCUUUGAAGACAUCCAAGUAAGGGUCCAUUGAGUAAUCAUCCAUCGUUACUCUUAAGAAAUCUGGCCUUCAAAUAUUGACAGAACCUACUUGUUUAAUUCCUAUCUUAGCUUAUUUCAGAGUCACAGUGUUUCUGUUAUAAAUUAAAGAAUUCUUAGGAAUUAAAAACGUCAUCAUUUUUGUCUAUUGGGUUGGUUUUAGAAACCAGUAUUUCUAGAGAAACAAAAUUAGACAGAAUGGCUUUCUAGAUCCAUGUCAGUUUGGUUUUAAUAAGGAGACUUUUAUUAAAAAUAAUUCCUGAAUACCUGACCUACCCAUAUUCAAGUAUAAGUAGAAAAUAAAUCUAUUUCCACACUUAUUCAGGAUGAUGCUCAGGUUAUUCACACUUGAGACAUAAUUACCUUUUCUAUAUUCUAGCAAUAAUUAUAAGUGGGUUAUAGUAAAAUAUAAUUGAAUGUCCAUAAGCUAAUAUUAUAAUUGCUAUGCUCUAAGGCUUCAGCAACCUCAAGUAAUUCCUUAGGGCCUACAGACAUGGACUAGCAGCAGGGCCAUGAUCUCUACAGUAGAUAAGCAAGGUCUGGGUGGGAACCAUCUGAAUCUAAUUUCACAACUCUUUCACAACUGUCAUUUUUAUAAGCCUCACAUUUUAUUUAAAUGGAAAAAGUUACUGCAUGGCUUUUGACUGUUAAGUGAUUUUGGAAGUGCCCAUAAAUCUUUAUGAAAUCCAAUUUGUUUCCAGCUUGUUAAUAGUUUAAAGAAUGGGUAAAAAGGGUUUUCAUAGCUCCAUAGAAAAAAAAAUUCAUGGAAUCAAAUUAAAUUUUGGUGGCUUAAAUGAAAUGAAUAUUUGUUAUGAGAUCCAUGAUGGUAUUGACAAUAGAUAGUGCCAAUGGGUAGUUUUGCAUUUUUGCAACUUUAAGUUCCCUAAAUGGUAUACAAAAUAAAAGCCAUACAGCAGAAUGAGGAUGGGGCAGGACUAAACUUUUCCCACUGUCCGGACUGCUUUUCUAAACCAGACUAUCAAAAGGAGCAGGCAUUUUUUAAGCCCUCAGAACUGUCUUUAGCAAAAAAAAAAAAAAACCCUCCCAGAUUUCAUAACCCUAUUUGAUAAUCUUUCACAGACAGAAAUCCCAAAUGUGUUUUGACUCCAAAGAAGAGGAAUGCCUUAUUUUCCAUGAAAGAACUCAGUUAAGAAGCCGAGAAUAUUGUUUGAAGUGAGAUGAUAGUCUGACUUGUAAACGACAUCAAAAGGUCUCCUGUAUGGGAAUUGAACUGAAGAAACACUUCUCUGAGGGUAAAGGAUGGAAAGGUCCAUCUCUGAGAAGAUCAGAAGGUCUGGAAAUUUUAAGUGCGCUUCCAACACCCAUGUGAUCUAUUGAUACGUUUGAGAGCACUGAGAGCAUGAAUGUGGACAAUUGAGGAGCCUGGGACUAUAGAAGGUUGUGAAACCAGGAGAAGAGAUGAAAAGCAGAAACAAUAAAUACUGAAGCACUAUUUUGGAUCAUGGAUGCUGGAGCCAAAUUUCCUGGGUCAAACCUGGCUCCUCACUGAUGACUUGCAUGGUCAACAAGUUACUUAUGCUUCUUGCCUCAGCUUCUUAACUGUGAAUGGGGAUAACAUUGCUCUGUGCCUUCUGCUUUGAAGAGAAUUCAAUGAGUUCAUAUGUAUGGAGCACCUAGAACAUGGUCCACACUGCGUAAGCACAGUGCAAACAUAGUUAUUAAGGAUCCUUGGGAUCACACUGAAGUGGCUUUCCUUAAGUUCACCUGCCAAGAUGGGAAUUCCAUUUUCUUUAACAGCUGUGAUGUAUACAGGUGCAGAGGAUUAGGAUCUCAGAAAUGGGGAUCAACCAGAAAUGAGGUUAUUUAUUUGGUUUAUUAUCCCACAUGGUAGUGGGAUAAUAAACUAAAGGAUAAAAUAGGCCUACAUUCAGCUCAGGGAAAUAAAUAGAAGCUGGAAGGGGUAGGGGAGCAAUGCAAGAUUUAUAGUUUGGUGAGAGCCAGUGGGCCAGGAGCCACAAGGUUGAAAGAAAGAAGAAUCCAUUGGUCAGGUGAGUAGAAAAGGUAUAAGAUCACUCAAAGCAACAAUGAUCAGAUAAACAGACAUGUAGCAGAUAAGUGGGUAGAUAGAUAUAUACAAACAGUCAAACCUGAUCAUUUUAAGAGCUGCUGGAAAGAAUCAGUUUGGGCUCCAGAUGUAAAUAUGGAAGGGAAACAGAAAAGAUGUGUUGGAAUUGACAAAUUGCUCACUUCAAAAAGAUGAAAAUUGUUAUAGUAUCACAAGCCCCAAUGUGGGGAAGUUCGUUCAAUUUCUUCUCAAGAAAUUCAUUGGAUUCAAAGGGUUAACGUGAAAGAGUGCUGUCAAUGACAGCAGGCUUUCGGUAUUCUUCCUAACAGCUGAGGCACAGACCCAACACCCUGCUCCACACAAAGCUAAGAUGGUAAAAGUGAAAGAAACAUUAUAUCUGCCACCUCUUUGUGCACUCAGAUUAGUUAAACUGUUUCAAGUGAAAAAUCCUGGGUGAUCAUCUUUACAGCUGCUUUGCCAUAGAAAGCAUCUGCUGUGGGUCCAAGUGUAAAACUCACACUGCUUGCUAACAGGGGGAGUGUGAUCCAGGGAGGAUACAGAGAUCAGGCUCAGGGUGGGGAAUAGUGAGCACCAGGCAAAAGGGUAUCCUGAGCUUCUGAGUUGGAAGCUUCUCUAAAAAUCAAGAGUAGCUAAGUGUAGAUGAUGAAAUGAUGCUCUCAAGCACUUUGUCCACAAGGAACAAGAUACAUCAGACUCAGCUGCCUCUCCUCCUGUUUACAUUAGGGCAUGAGAUACCAGGGUUAUUCAAGUUCUAGUAAUGAUCAGGCAUAGGUAAAGUAAUGGUAUUCAUUAAUACAGGUACAACCAGAAAAAUCAUUGUCAUAAUUUUUGAUAUAUGUAUUUAAUUGACAUUCAAUAAUUAUGCAUAUUAUGGGAUAAAGGGUGACAUUCCAAUGUAUAUAACAUAUAAAGAUCAGGGUAAUUGGCAUAUCUUACAUCAUCUCAAACACUUAACAUUUCUCUGUGUUGGAAAUAUUAAAAACACCCUCUUAUUACCAUACUGUGCUAUAGAAAGCAAAAAUUUAUUCAUCCUAUUCACCUGUACCCCUGUACCCUGUUACUCAUUCUCUCUUCAUUCCUCUCUCCCCCUAAUCAUUCUUAGUCUCUGGUAACCACUAUCUACUGACUACCUGAAGUCAAUUUGGGGGGUACUUUCACAUGUAAGUGAGAACACACAGUUUAAUGAGGGGCAAGAGAGAACUGUAAAAGGAGCCAGAGAAAGAUUGGCCACUACUGAAAUCACCUAACUCUUGAUCUCCUUCUCUAUUCCAUGAUCAAGAUGCCUGAUCACAUCUAGGUCUUUGGAUUUUCCUCCCUCUUUGGGACUUGGGGUCAGAAUUGCGUUGAGUUGAACUUAAAAGAAGUAGA